rnacentral:rRNA from 1 species
CUUCCGCAAUGGACGAAAGUCUGACGGAGCAACGCCGCGUGAGUGAUGAAGGUUUUCGGAUCNUAAAACUCUGUUGUUAGGGAAGNNCANNNANCGUUCGAAUAGGGCGGUACCUUGACGGUACCUAACCNNNANGNCACGGCUAACUACGUGCCAGCAGCCGCGGUAAUACGUAGGUGGCAAGCGUUGUCCGGAAUUAUUGGGCGUAAAGCGCGCGCAGGCGGUUUCUUAAGUCUGAUAUGAAAGCCCCCGGCUCAACCGGGGAGGGUCAUUGGAAACUGGGGAACUUGAGUGCAGAAGAGGAGAGUGGAAUUCCACGUGUAGCGGUGAAAUGCGUAGAGAUGUGGAGGAACACCAGUGGCGAAGGCGACUCUCUGGUCUGUAACUGACGCUGAGGCGCGAAAGCGUGGGGAGCGAACAGG